UAACAGGAAAUUUAAGGGCGUACGGUGGAUGCCUUGACUAAAAAUGGCGAAGAAGGACGUGGCGUUGCUGCGAUAAGCUUCGGGGAGGUGCUUAGCAACCUUUGAUCCGGAGAUUUCCGAAUGGGGAAACCCGAUCCGAUCGAAAUCGGAUCGUCCCGACUGAAAGGUCGGGACGCAUACCCUGGGAAGUGAAACAUCUCAGUACCAGGAGGAAAAGAAAAAAACUUGCCCAGCUCCACUUUUGAUUUUUAGUUUUUAUUAUUCAAUAAAAGGUAAGUGCUUAUUUUAUCUUAAGUUGGUAAUUUAUAUUAAGUGUCAAAAGUGGGGCUGGGUAAAUAUUUCCUAAGUAGCGGCGAGCGAAAAGGAAGAAGCCCAAACCCAGCACCACUUUUGCAUUUUUGCAAAGAAUUUUAAGAUUAAAAAAUUUGAAGAAAUUUUUUAGCUCAAAAAUUCAAAAGCAAAAAUAUAAAAGUGGUGCUGGGGGUUGUAAGAUAACAAUGUAGUUUACUAGAGGAGUCAAAAAAUAAAUUAUUAGCUUAAGUUGCUGGAAAGCGACACCAUAGAGGGUGAUAGUCCCGUGAGCGAAAAUAUUUUAUCUCUUUUAUUGUUAUUCUUGAGUACCUCAGGACACGAAUGGCCGGAGGGAAUCUAGCGGAACUAACCGCUAAGGCUAAAUACACUUUUAGAUCGAUAGUGAACUAGUACCGUGAGGGAAAGGUGAAAAGCAGCCCGAUUAGGGCGGUGAAAUAGACCUGAAACCGUAUGUCUACAAGGAGUUGAACCCCGCACCACUUUGAACGAUAACAUUCAAUGAUUAUUAAACAGGAAGAAACAUUUUUUCUGUAAGAUUAUUAUUGUGCGUUAGUUUUCAAAGUGGUGCGGGGGACAGCGUGCCUAUUGAAGAAUGAGCCAACGAGUUUAUGCAUGCUGCUGCCUAAGUCGGCUAAAACGACCGAAGCAUAGGGAAACCGAGUGUUAAUAGCGCGCAGUCGCGGAGCGAAAGCAAUGUGACAGAAUAGUAACAUGCAUAAGACCCGAAGCCAGGUGAGCUUGCCAUGAGCAGGAUGAAGUAGGUCGAAAGACCUAUGGAGGUCCGAACAGGUAGAUCGUACAACGUCUUCUGAUGACUUGUGGUAAGGAGUGAAAAGCUAAUCGAACCUGGUAAUAGCUGGUUCUCUCCGAAAUAGCUUUAGGGCUAGCGUCGUGUGUUUCUUUUGGGGG
rfam:Candidatus Nomurabacteria bacterium RIFCSPHIGHO2_02_FTLL_42_19 rifcsphigho2_02_scaffold_5991, whole genome shotgun sequence.